GGGGAAUAUUGCACAAUGGGCGCAAGCCUGAUGCAGCGACGCCGCGUGAGGGAUGACGGCCUUCGGGUUGUAAACCUCUUUCAGCAGGGAAGAAGCGCAAGUGACGGUACCUGCAGAAGAAGCGCCGGCUAACUACGUGCCAGCAGCCGCGGUAAUACGUAGGGCGCAAGCGUUGUCCGGAAUUAUUGGGCGUAAAGAGCUCGUAGGCGGUUUGUCGCGUCUGGUGUGAAAUCCCGAGGCUCAACUUCGGGCUUGCAUCGGGUACGGGCAGGCUAGAGUGCGGUAGGGGAGACUGGAAUUCCUGGUGUAGCGGUGGAAUGCGCAGAUAUCAGGAGGAACACCGAUGGCGAAGGCAGGUCUCUGGGCCGCAACUGACGCUGAGGAGCGAAAGCAUGGGGAGCGAAC
rnacentral:rRNA from 1 species